rnacentral:rRNA from 1 species
AACGAACGCUGGCGGCAUGCCUAACACAUGCAAGUCGAACGAAGGCUUCGGCCUUAGUGGCGCACGGGUGCGUAACGCGUGGGAAUCUGCCCUUAGGUUCGGAAUAACUCAGAGAAAUUUGAGCUAAUACCGGAUGAUGACGUAAGUCCAAAGAUUUAUCGCCCAAGGAUGAGCCCGCGUAAGAUUAGCUAGUUGGUGGGGUAAAGGCCUACCAAGGCGACGAUCUUUAGCUGGUCUGAGAGGAUGAUCAGCCACACUGGGACUGAGACACGGCCCAGACUCCUACGGGAGGCAGCAGUGGGGAAGUAUUGGACAAUGGGCGGAAAGACCUGAUCCACGCAAUGCCGCCGUGAGUGAUGAAGG